UGGUACAACGAGUCGCGAGUCGGUGACGGCAAGCUAAUCUCUUAAAGCCAGUCUCAGUUCGGAUUGUAGGCUGCAACUCGCCUACAUGAAGUCGGAAUCGCUAGUAAUCGCGGAUCAGCACGCCGCGGUGAAUACGUUCCCGGGCCUUGUACACACCGCCCGUCGCACCACGAGAGUUUGUAACACCCGAAGUCGGUGAGGUAACCGUAAGGAGCCAGCCGCCUAAGGUGGGAUAGAUGAUUGGGGUGAAGUCGUAACAAGGUACC
rnacentral:rRNA from 1 species